rnacentral:rRNA from 1 species
UACAGAGGGUGCGAGCGUUAAUCGGAAUUAUUGGGCGUAAAGGGUGCGUAGGUGGUUAGAUAAGUUAGAUGUGAAAGUCCUAGGCUCAACCUAGGGAUUGCAUUUAAUACUAUUUAGCUAGAGUACUGUAGAGGAAAGUGGAAUUUCCGGUGUAGCGGUGAAAUGCGUAGAUAUCGGAAGGAAUAUCAGUGGCGAAGGCGGCUUUCUGGACAGAUACUGACACUGAGGCACGAAAGCAUGGGGAGCAAACAGG